UACGGGGGGGGCAAGCGUUGUUCGGAAUUACUGGGCGUAAAGGGCUCGUAGGCGCCAACUAAGUCAGACGUGAAAUCCCUCGGCUUAACCGGGGAACUGCGUCUGAUACUGGUUGGCUUGAAUCCGGGAGAGGGAUGUGGAAUUCCAGGUGUAGCGGUGAAAUGCGUAGAUAUCUGGAGGAACACCGGUGGCGAAGGCGGCAUCCUGGACCGGUAUUGACGCUGAGGAGCGAAAGCCAGGGGAGCAA
rnacentral:rRNA from 1 species